rnacentral:rRNA from 1 species
AUUGAACGCUGGCGGCAUGCCUUACACAUGCAAGUCGAACGGUAACAGGUCUUCGGAUGCUGACGAGUGGCGAACGGGUGAGUAAUACAUCGGAACGUGCCCGAUCGUGGGGGAUAACGCAGCGAAAGCUGUGCUAAUACCGCAUACGAUCUACGGAUGAAAGCGGGGGAUCGCAAGACCUCGCGCGGACGGAGCGGCCGAUGGCAGAUUAGGUAGUUGGUGGGAUAAAAGCUUACCAAGCCGACGAUCUGUAGCUGGUCUGAGAGGACGACCAGCCACACUGGGACUGAGACACGGUCCAGACUCCUACGGGAGGCAGCAGUAGGGAAUAUUGGACAAUGGGGGCAACCCUGAUCCAGCCAUGCCGCGUGAGUGAAGAAGGCCCUCGGGUUGUAAAGCUCUGUCCUAAGGGAAGAAACGGACGGUACCUUAGGAGGAAGCCCCGGGCUAACUACGUAG